GCCAUAAAACUUCUUCCAGAGAGUGCUGGCAUUCUGUCCACCUCCAUAUACAUUCUCUGCCACAAUCACCAUCUGCAGAUUAUAUGGAGGCGGGCGAUAUGCCAAGCAAGCUCUGCCAGGCGUUUUCCGGC
rnacentral:pre_miRNA from 1 species